rnacentral:rRNA from 1 species
AUGACGAGCUUGCUCUGAUUUGAUUUUUUGAUUUCAAAGAGUGGCGAACGGGUGAGUAACACGUGGGUAACCUACCUCUUAGCAGGGGAUAACAUUUGGAAACAAAUGCUAAUACCGUAUAAUAUCAACAACCGCAUGGUUGUUGAUUGAAAGAUGGUUCUGCUAUCACUAAGAGAUGGACCCGCGGUGCAUUAGCUAGUUGGUAAGGUAAUGGCUUACCAAGGCGAUGAUGCAUAGCCGAGUUGAGAGACUGAUCGGCCACAAUGGGACUGAGACACGGCCCAUACUCCUACGGGAGGCAGCAGUAGGGAAUCUUCCACAAUGGGCGCAAGCCUGAUGGAGCAACGCCGCGUGUGUGAUGAAGGGUUUCGGCUCGUAAAACACUGUUAUAAGAGAAGAACGGCACUGAGAGUAACUGUUCAGUGUGUGACGGUAUCUUACCAGAAAGGAACGGCUAAAUACGUGCCAGCAGCCGCGGUAAUACGUAUGUUCCAAGCGUUAUCCGGAUUUAUUGGGCGUAAAGCGAGCGCAGACGGUUAUUUAAGUCUGAAGUGAAAGCCCUCAGCUCAACUGAGGAAUUGCUUUGGAAACUGGAUGACUUGAGUGCAGUAGAGGAAAGUGGAACUCCAUGUGUAGCGGUGAAAUGCGUAGAUAUAUGGAAGAACACCAGUGGCGAAGGCGGCUUUCUGGACUGUAACUGACGUUGAGGCU